rnacentral:rRNA from 1 species
AGUGAACGCUGGCGGUAGGCCUAACACAUGCAAGUCGAACGGCAGCACAGUAAGAGCUUGCUCUUACGGGUGGCGAGUGGCGGACGGGUGCGGAAUACAUCGCAAUCUACUUUUUCGUGGGGGAUAACGUAGGGAAACUUACGCUAAUACCGCAUACGACCUACGGGUGAAAGCAGGGGAUCUUCGGACCUCGCGCGAUUGAAUGAGCCGAUGUCGGAUUAGCUAGUUGGCGGGGUAAAGGCCUACCAAGCCGACGAUCCGUAGCUGGUCUGAGAGGAUGAUCAGCCACACUGGAACUGAGACACGGUCCAGACUCCUACGGGAGGCAGCAGUGGGGAAUUUUGGACAAUGGGCGCAAGCCUGAUCCAGCCAUACCGCGUGCGGGAAGAAGGCCUUCGGGUUGUAAAACCCUUUUGUUCGGAAAGAAAAGCAGCAGGCUAAUACCCCGCUGUGCUGACGGUACCCAAAGAAUAAGCACCGGCUAACUUCGUG